rnacentral:rRNA from 1 species
GAUGAACGCUAGCUACAGGCUUAACACAUGCAAGUCGAGGGGAAACGACAUCGAAAGCUUGCUUUUGAUGGGCGUCGACCGGCGCACGGGUGAGUAACGCGUAUCCAACCUGCCCAUCACUUGGGAAUAACCUUGCGAAAGUAAGACUAAUACCCAAUGAUAUCCCACGAAGGCAUCGGAAUGGGAUUAAAGAUUUAUCGGUGAUGGAUGGGGAUGCGUCUGAUUAGCUUGUUGGCGGGGUAACGGCCCACCAAGGCAACGAUCAGUAGGGGUUCUGAGAGGAACGUCCCCCACAUUGGAACUGAGACACGGUCCAAACUCCUACGGGAGGCAGCAGUGAGGAAUAUUGGUCAAUGGGCGAGAGCCUGAACCAGCCAAGUAGCGUGCAGGAAGACGGCCCUAUGGGUUGUAAACUGCUUUUAUAAGGGAAUAAAGUGGGUCACGUGUGACUUUUUGCAUGUACCUUAUGAAUAAGGACCGGCUAAUUCCGUG